AAGUGACGGUACCUGCAGAAGAAGCGCCGGCUAACUACGUGCCAGCAGCCGCGGUAAUACGUAGGGCGCAAGCGUUGUCCGGAAUUAUUGGGCGUAAAGAGCUCGUAGGCGGUUUGUCGCGUCUGCUGUGAAAUCCAGAGGCUCAACCUCCGGCCUGCAGUGGGUACGGGCAGACUAGAGUGCGGUAGGGGAGAUUGGAAUUCCUGGUGUAGCGGUGGAAUGCGCAGAUAUCAGGAGGAACACCGAUGGCGAAGGCAGAUCUCUGGGCCGUAACUGACGCUGAGGAGCGAAAGGGUGGGGAGCAAACAGGCUUAGAUACCCUGGUAGUCCACCCCGUAAACGUUGGGAACUAGUUGUGGGGUCCAUUCCACGGAUUCCGUGACGCAGCUAACGCAUUAAGUUCCCCGCCUGGGGAGUACGGCCGCAAGGCUAAAACUCAAAGGAAUUGACGGGGACCCGCACAAGCGGCGGAGCAUGCGGAUUAAUUCGAUGCAACGCGAAGAACCUUACCAAGGCUUGACAUAUUCGAGAACGGGCCAGAAAUGGUCAACUCUUUGGACACUCGUAAACAGGUGGUGCAUGGUUGUCGUCAGCUCGUGUCGUGAGAUGUUGGGUUAAGUCCCGCAACGAGCGCAACCCUCGUUCUAUGUUGCCAGCACGUAAUGGUGGGAACUCAUGGGAUACUGCCGGGGUCAACUCGGAGGAAGGUGGGGAUGACGUCAAAUCAUCAUGCCCCUUAUGUCUUGGGCUUCACGCAUGCUACAAUGGCCGGUACAAAGGGCUGCAAUACCGCGAGGUGGAGCGAAUCCCAAAAAGCCGGUCCCAGUUCGGAUUGAGGUCUGCAACUCGACCUCAUGAAGUCGGAGUCGCUAGUAAUCGCAGAUCAGCAACGCUGCGGUGAAUACGUUCCCGGGUCUUGUACACACCGCCCGUCAAGUCACGAAAGUGGG
rnacentral:rRNA from 1 species